ensembl:lncRNA
GCUAGCUGUCAUGCUGCCUGCUACAUCUCUUUAAGAACUCACUUUUAACACUGUCGUCACUAUUAAUGUAACGCGAACUGCGACAGAUGAGUCUAUAAACCAUUCACAACAUGAAACUUACGCUUCAACUGCUUUCUAAAGCGCCACGUACAAAUCCAACAGUCAGUGUGUGAGUACGCUACCGGCAGAUGUCAACACAAGGUGCAUGUAAACUAGGCAUUAUGGGUAUUGUAGUUUAGACGUCGAGCGGCUGUAUAGAGGGCAUGGAUAAAGUGACUACAUUACCCGAGUAAGCAGAGAAGUACAGUUUAUAGAGAGACGAGACGACGAGGCUCCAGUUCAUUCAGCGCAAAGACAGCAAUAAAUAUACACUUUAAGACUAAGCUUUACAAAUCAAACCAGUUCAAGUUUCAGCAACCUCAUUCCUGCAAUUUGUUGACACAUCAACAACAUCUGAGGGCAUUUGGUCCAUCACCU